AAAUCACCAAAAAACAGAAAAUUAUGUGUUUGACGUACAACAUUUUUAUUUUGCUCAAAAGUAGAGAUCUUAACCCCCCAAAUGUUGAACUCAAAGUUAUACCCUUAAGGCAGGAUAUAUCAUUUU